GAUGAAGAACGCAGCGAAAUGCGAUAAGUAAUGUGAAUUGCAGAAUUCAGUGAAUCAUCGAAUCUUUGAACGCACAUUGCGCCCGCCAGUAUUCUGGCGGGCAUGCCUGUCCGAGCGUCAUUUCAACCAUCAAGCCCCCGGGCUUGUGUUGGGGACCUGCGGCUGCCGCAGGCCCUGAAAAGCAGUGGCGGGCUCGCUGUCACACCGAGCGUAGUAGAUUUUAUCUCGCUCUGGGCGUGCUGCGGGUUCCGGCCGUUAAACCACCCUUUUAACCCAAGGUUGACCUCGGAUCAGGUAGGAAGACCCGCUGAACUUAAGCAUAUCAAUAAGCGGAGGA
rnacentral:misc_RNA from 1 species